AAGAGUAUAGUUCAACGGUAAAACAAGAAGCUUCAAACUUCAAAUUCUUAGUUCAAAUCUAGGUGCUCUUG
rnacentral:tRNA from 1 species